GGUAAGUCGGGGCAGUCAGCGGGGGUAAUACGGAAGGUCCGGGAGUUAACCGGAUUUGUUGGGUUUAAAGGGGGCGGAGGCCGGAGAUUAAGCGUGUUGUGAAAUGUAGACGCUCAACGUCUGCACUGCAGCGCGAACUGGUUUCCUUGAGUACGCACAAAGUGGGCGGAAUUCGUGGUGUAGCGGUGAAAUGCUUAGAUAUCACGAAGAACUCCGAUUGCGAAGGCAGCUCACUGGAGCGCAACUGACGCUGAAGCUCGAAAGUGCGGGUAUCGAACAGGAUUAGAUACCCGAGUAGUC
rnacentral:rRNA from 1 species